rnacentral:rRNA from 1 species
AACAGACGCUGGCGGCGUGCCUAAUACAUGCAAGUCGAACGGGGUAGCAAUACCUAGUGGCGCACGGGUGAGGAACGCGUGGAUAAUCUGCCUUAGAGUGGGGGAUAACUAGUCGAAAGAUUAGCUAAUACCGCAUAAGACCACAGGAGCUGCGGCUCUAGGGGUCAAAGGUUUUUCGCUCUAAGAUGAGUCCGCGUAAGAUUAGCUAGUUGGUGAGGUAACGGCUCACCAAGGCGACGAUCUUUAACUGGUCUGGGAGGAUGAUCAGUCACACUGGAACUGAGACACGGUCCAGCCUCAUACGGGAGGCAGCAGUAGGGAAUAUUGCACAAUGGAGGAAACUCUGAUGCAGCGACGCCGCGUGAGUGAUGAAGGCCUUCGGGUCGUAAAGCUCUGUCGCAGGGGAAUAACACAAUGAAUGUACCCUGUAAGAAAGGAUCGGCUAACUUCGUGCCAGCCGCCGCCGUAACAC